rnacentral:rRNA from 1 species
UGGGGAAUUUUGGACAAUGGGCGAAAGCCUGAUCCAGCAAUGCCGCGUGUGUGAAGAAGGCCUUCGGGUUGUAAAGCACUUUUGUCCGGAAAGAAAUCCUUGGCUCUAAUACAGUCGGGGGAUGACGGUACCGGAAGAAUAAGCACCGGCUAACUACGUGCCAGCAGCCGCGGUAAUACGUAGGGUGCAAGCGUUAAUCGGAAUUACUGGGCGUAAAGCGUGCGCAGGCGGUUUUGCUAAGACCGAUGUGAAAUCCCCGGGCUCAACCUGGGAACUGCAUUGGUGACUGGCAGGCUAGAGUAUGGCAGAGGGGGGUUAGAAUUCCACGUGUAGCAGUGAAAUGCGUAGAGAUGUGGAGGAAUACCGAUGGCGAAGGCAGCCCCCUGGGCCAAUACUGACGCUCAUGCACGAAAGCGUGGGGAGCAAACAGGAUUAGAUACCCUGGUAGUCCACGCCCUAAACGAUGUCAACUAGUUGUUGGGGAUUCAUUUCCUUAGUAACGUAGCUAACGCGUGAAGUUGACCGCCUGGGGAGUACGGUCGCAAGAUUAAAACUCAAA